rnacentral:rRNA from 1 species
CGUGUAGGCGGUCCUAUUUGUCGUGGGUGAAAGCCCUUGGCUUAACCAAGGAACUGCCCUCGAAACGGUAGGACUUGAGUCCGGGAGAGGAGAGCGGAAUUCCCAGUGUAGCGGUGAAAUGCGUAGAUAUUGGGAGGAACACCGGUGGCGAAGGCGGCUCUCUGGACCGGCACUGACGCUGAUACGCGAAAGCUAGGGGAGCAAACAGGAUUAGAUACCCUGGUAGUCCUAGCUGUAAACGAUGGGCACUUGGUGUAGCGGGUAUCGACCCCUGCUGUGCCGAAGCUAACGCAUUAAGUGCCCCGCCUGGGGAGUACGGUCGCAAGGCUGAA